UACGAAGGGGGCUAGCGUUGUUCGGAAUUACUGGGCGUAAAGCGCACGUAGGCGGACUAUUAAGUCAGGGGUGAAAUCCCGGGGCUCAACCCUGGAACUGCCUUUGAUACUGACGAUCUGGAGAUCGGGAGAGGUUGGUGGAAUUCCGAGUGUAGAGGUGAAAUUCGUAGAUAUUCGGAGGAACACCAGAAGCGAAGGCGGCCAACUGGCCCGAUACUGACGCUGAGGCGCGAAAGCGUGGGGAGCAAACAGG
rnacentral:rRNA from 1 species